rnacentral:rRNA from 1 species
AGAGUUUGAUCCUGGCUCAGGAUGAACGCUGGCGGCGUGCCUAAUACAUGCAAGUCGAGCGAACCACUUCGGUGGGAAGCGGCGAACGGGUGAGUAACACGUAGGUGAUCUGCCCAUCAGACGGGGACAACGAUUGGAAACGAUCGCUAAUACCGGAUAGGACGAAAGUUUAAAGAUGCUCCUGGCAUCACUGAUGGAUGAGCCUGCGGCGCAUUAGCUAGUUGGUGGGGUAAAGGCCUACCAAGGCGACGAUGCGUAGCCGACCUGAGAGGGUGAACGGCCACACUGGGACUGAGACACGGCCCAGACUCCUACGGGAGGCAGCAGUAAGGAAUCUUCGGCAAUGGGCGAAAGCCUGACCGAGCAACGCCGCGUGAAUGAAGAAGGCCUUCGGGUUGUAAAAUUCUGUUAUAAGGGAAGAAAGGUGAUAGGAGGAAAUGACUAUCAAUUGACGGUACCUUAUGAGAAAGCCACGGCUAACUACGUG